AGAGUUUGAUCCUGGCUCAGGACGAACGCUGGCGGCGUGCUUGAUACAUGCAAGUCGAGCGGGCUGCCGGAAAGCGCAAGCUGGAGGGCAGUCAGCGGCGAACGGGUGAGUAACACGUAGGCAACCUGCCUGGAAGACCGGGAUACCCCCGGGAAACUGGGGCUAAUACCGGAUGGGCUUGGCUGGGGCAUCCCAGGCAAGCAAAGGAGUGAUCCGCUUCCAGAGGGGCCUGCGGCCCAUCAGCUCGUUGGUGAGGUAACGGCCCACCAAGGCGAUGACGGGUAGCCGGCCUGAGAGGGUGGACGGCCACAUUGGGACUGAGACACGGCCCAGACUCCUACGGGGGGCAGCAGUAGGGAAUCUUCGGCAAUGGGCGAAAGCCUGACCGAGCGACGCCGCGUGGGGGAAGACGGUCUUCGGAUUGUAAACCCCUGUCUUCCGGGACGAGGCAGGACGGUACCGGAGGAGGAAGCCCCGGCGAACUACGUGCCAGCAGCCGCGGUAAUACGUAGGGGGCGAGCGUUGUCCGGAAUCACUGGGCGUAAAGGGUGCGUAGGCGGUUGGCUAAGUCUCGUGGGAAAGGCCCCGGCUUAACUGGGGAAACCCGCGAGAGACUGGCGAGCUGGAGGGCCGGAGAGGGUAGUGGAAUUCCCGGUGUAGCGGUGAAAUGCGUAGAGAUCGGGAGGAACACCAGUGGCGAAGGCGGCUACCUGGACGGUACCUGACGCUGAGGCACGAAAGCUGGGGGAGCAAACAGGAUUAGAUACCCUGGUAGUCCCAGCCGUAAACGAUGGACGCUAGGUGUGGGCAGGCAGCCCCUGCCCGUGCCGGAGUAUACACAAUAAGCGUCCCGCCUGGGGAGUACGGCCGCAAGGCUGAAACUCAAAGGAAUUGACGG
rnacentral:rRNA from 1 species